rnacentral:rRNA from 1 species
UACGUAGGGGGCAAGCGUUGUCCGGAAUCAUUGGGCGUAAAGAGCGUGUAGGCGGCCUGGUAAGUCCGCUGUGAAAGUCCAGGGCUCAACCCUGGAAUGCCGGUGGAAACUGUCAGGCUCGAGUCCGGAAGAGGCGAGUGGAAUUCCUGGUGUAGCGGUGAAAUGCGCAGAUAUCAGGAGGAACACCAAUGGCGAAGGCAGCUCGCUGGGACGGUACUGACACUGAGACGCGAAAGCGUGGGGAGCAAACAGG